GAUGAACGCUGGCGUCGUGCCUAAUACAUGCAAGUCGAGCGAACAGACGAGGAGCUUGCUCCUCUGACGUUAGCGGCGGACGGGUGAGUAACACGUGGAUAACCUACCUAUAAGACUGGGAUAACUUCGGGAAACCGGAGCUAAUACCGGAUAAUAUAUUGAACCGCAUGGUUCAAUAGUGAAAGACAGUUUUGCUGUCACUUAUAGAUGGAUCCGCGCCGCAUUAGCUAGUUGGUAAGGUAACGGCUUACCAAGGCAACGAUGCGUAGCCGACCUGAGAGGGUGAUCGGCCACACUGGAACUGAGACACGGUCCAGACUCCUACGGGAGGCAGCAGUAGGGAAUCUUCCGCAAUGGGCGAAAGCCUGACGGAGCAACGCCGCGUGAGUGAUGAAGGUCUUCGGAUCGUAAAACUCUGUUAUUAGGGAAGAACAAAUGUGUAAGUAACUAUGCACGUCUUGACGGUACCUAAUCAGAAAGCCACGGCUAACUACGUG
rnacentral:rRNA from 1 species